GCUCGUUUGAAUACAAUAGUGGGAUAAUAGGCUCUUGAUAAGUGCUGAUUUGGUUUGAUGGGUUUGAUUUUGUUUGGUGGGUAAUGCUUGAUUUUUAUCAUUGUGAUAAUUGUGAUAAUUGUGAUGAUGGGAUGGAUAUGGAGCUUAAUUUUGCUACUGGUUUGGCCAAUUUUGGAUUUUGGUUUUUCUUACUUUAAAACAAAAAUUGUUUCUUCACUAAGUGUAGUUCAAUCUGAUAAAACUGACAAUGCAAAAUGUUUCACAAAUGUUUAAUUUCAUAAUGGGUAAUUUCAAACUUUUGUGAAUGAGGUCUGCAUUGGAAUUGUAAUUAAUCAAGCCUUGUGUUUGAUAUACAGUACUCAUCACAGGUAGGAAGCUUUUUUUUUAUUAUUUUAAAUUUCGGGUAUCCAUCCCAUUUAUGAACUUCCGCCAUAAGUAAUUAGGUUAAUGAAUCUAAACUUCAUGCCUUUGAAUAUUCAUCCCGUAAAAUCUGUGUACUUUUGUUGCAGUGAGUUCUGUAGCAUGGUAAGGAAGAUUUUUAUCUAUACAAUAGAGGAAAUCAAGAGGUUGUCACCCAAGAUAAAACUUACACUCAAUGAAGAGGUCAAACCAGGAAAGCCAGAUUCUGAAGCAGCAGUCAACACCGAAGACUAGUCAUCCAUUGUGGGAGCUGCAUACUGAUCUGCCCCCUUGUCUCUAGCUAUAUAAUGAAAAAUUGAAAAAAAAAUUGGAAAAUGGAACUUAAUUGUCACAUGAGAUUCUGUCUGCUAGGAUGAUGCUAUCUAUGACAAAGUACACAUGCUGGAAGAAUUGGUUGAGUUUCCCUGCAUGCUGAAAUGGAGGGGGACAGUGGCCUGUAAUGCACAUGCAAUCUGGAGAGUCACUACUCUUGACAGGGUUUGGGUGUUUUUUAUGGUUAUUGGUUGUCUAGUUUUGCCAAGAGGAUCUCAUAGUGCUUGCUUGUUUGGGCGAAUUGAGUUAGUGGUAGUCCCACUGGAGCAGCUUAAGUCCUCUGAUUUUACUGAUCAACAAGAAUAUUAUGCCUGUAAAAUGAAAUAAAGGAGCUUUUCUGGUAAUGAACUUUACUUUUGGACACACACAUGCGCAAUGAACUUUACUGUCUUUGAUGGCAUUUUGUGUUAUUUGUUUGAUAGGAAGGUGAUGCUGCUGUUGCCGUUGCUGAGGAGGUGAAGAAGAACAACCAUGUAGUAAGAAAGUUGGAGAAGCGUCAAUAGAUUUGCACCCUUGACCAGCAUAUUGAAGAGCAAUUUGGUUGUGGUCGUCUAUUGGCUUGUAUCUCAUCACGACCUGGACAGUGGCUGUGCUGAUGGGUAUGUGACUUUAUUUGCCUAUGUCUGUUUCUAGUCAGCAGAUUUGUCAUAGGCAUAUUAGUGUAGUUACCGUAUUGCAAGGGCUGAAAUCUGGAUGAUAUCAGCUUCUUUUUAUUGUUGUUUUAAAGUGAGGUAUGUAUGGGUCUUAUGAAAUUUUUACAGAAAUAUAUUGGAGGGCAAAUAAUUUUAUUUUAGUUUUUCAUUCCCAAAUGAUACCCAAAACAUGUAAGCUUCACACUAUGUUAAUUUCUGCAUGAUGGGAAAACAUUGGACAAUGAGUCGGAGGUUGUUGAGAGAAUGAAGCUAGACAAGGUCUACAUAUCCCCUUAUUUCAUCACCAACCAGAACAAUCAGAAAUGUGUAAGUUUUAGUUUGACUCAGCAAUAAUUAUGUCUUGAAACUGUUAGAGGGCUGUCAAAAUUGCUCAGCAGAUUUGCACUCUUGACCAAAUUGCUCUUCAAUAUGUUGGUCAAGGGUGCAAAUCGGUUGACGCUUCUCCAACUUUCUUACUACAUGGUUGUUCUUCUUCACCUUCUCAGCGACGACAACAACAACAUCACCUUCCUAUCAAACAAAUAACACAAAAUGCCAUCAAAGACAGUAAAGUUCAUUGUGCAUGUGUGUGUGUGUCCAAAAGUAAAGUUCAUUACCAGAAAAGCUCCUUUAUUUCAUUUUGCAGGCAUCGUAUUCUUGUUGAUCAGUAAAAUCAGAGUACUUGAGCUACUCCAGUGGGGCUACCAUUGACU
rnacentral:lncRNA from 1 species